rnacentral:lncRNA from 1 species
AUAUUUUGAAUCUGAAUGGUUAAUAAACAAAUGAAAAACAACUUGAGGUAAUUAACACCUCUGGAGGAAGAGUUAUCUUAAAUAUUACUUGUUAAGCCAUUUAAGUUUUCUCUGUUAAAUUGUAUUACCUGAUUAUUAAUGUUAUAAGAUUAGAAUUAAUUAAAAUAUAGGAUUAGAGCUAAAUUCUUUUUAAAAUUAAUCUGUUCUCUUGGGAGUUGGUAUCCUUUGUAAUUAAUACAGAAAUAAUGUAAUUAAAACCAUAGAUAUUAAUAUUUUCACGGUCUCUUAUGCAGGCACUGAACUUACCUUCAACUACAACCUAGAAUGUCUUGGGAAUGGAAAGACUGUUUGCAAAUGUGGAGCCCCGAACUGCAGUGGCUUCUUGGGUGUAAGGCCAAAGAAUCAACCCAUUGCCACGGAAGAAAAGUCAAAGAAAUUCAAGAAGAAGCAACAGGGAAAGCGCAGGACCCAGGGUGAAAUCACAAAGGAGCGAGAAGAUGAGUGUUUUAGUUGUGGGGAUGCUGGCCAGCUCGUCUCCUGCAAGAAACCAGGCUGCCCAAAAGUUUACCACGCA